GCAAACUUGGUCAUUUAGAGGAAGUAAAAGUCGUAACAAGGUUUCCGUAGGUGAACCUGCGGAAGGAUCAUUACAGAAUCGCGGCGAAGGGGCCCCAAAGCCCCGGAGCCAACGCAUUCUACCCUGUCUUUUGUAUACCCUCACAUCCUCCCCAGCCCUCGGGCUGGGAUGGCUACUCAAAAAAACCUUGCAGUUUACAGUCAAUUCAGUUUUUUAUAACAAAAUUAAAACUUUCAACAAUGGAUCUCUUGGCUCUGGCAUCGAUGAAGAACGCAGC
rnacentral:misc_RNA from 1 species